rnacentral:rRNA from 1 species
AUACGUAGGUGGCGAGCGUUGUCCGGAAUUACUGGGCGUAAAGGAUGCGUAGGUGGAUAUUUAAGUGGGAUGUGAAAUCCCCGGGCUCAACCCGGGAACUGCAUUCCAAACUGGGUAUCUAGAGUGCAGGAGAGGAAAGCGGAAUUCCUAGUGUAGCGGUGAAAUGCGUAGAUAUUAGGAGGAACACCAGUGGCGAAGGCGGCUUUCAGGCCUGUAACUGACAUGGAGGCCUGAAAGCGUGGGUAGAAAACAGGAUUAGAUCCCCUGGGGUCCCACGCCGUAAACGAUGGGUACUAGGUGUAGGAGGUAACGACCCUUUCUGUGCCGUCGUUAAACCAAUAAGUACCCCGCCUGGGGAGUACGGUCGCAAGACUAAAACUCAAAUGAAUUGACGGGG